CCUUAAAAUUUUUACUAGUUAAAUUUUACCGUUAUUGACCGAAGAGUGACUUUUUCUUUAGUCCGGUAAAUUAGGAAAUUUCCUUGAGAAUGUCGUAGAAUAUGAAAAAUCGAGUUCGUGGACACGUAGUUUGUUUAAAUCGGAGUUUCUACGGAAAAGUUAUGACCAAAAAUGGAAAUUUACUAUUAUGGUUAUUAUUUCCCUAUUAUUUUAAAGGAAAGUGGGUAAAAAAGGAGAGAGAGAGAGAGUGAAAUCGGGAGAACCCGAUUCCAGCCCCCCCCCCCCCCUCCUUCUUUCUUCUUUUUCUCUUCUUUCUUUCCUUUCCUUGCUGCGAAACCGGAACCCAUUUCCGGCGAAAUCACCGCCACCGUCCGCACCACCGGCCAUUAGAGGAUCCUCUCUUCCUCCUCUUGCAUCUAAGCUUGUUUUGAUCUAUGGAGGAAGAUUUGAAGGUGUUUGAGCGUGUGAACAGUAACUGUCGGGUUCUUGGUUUUUGUUUGAUUUCUCCGGCCUUUUCUGCUUGAUUUUGGUUGUUGUUGCAGGACGGAUUGAUCCCUUGAGCGAGGGGAUACGGGUAGGCAGCAGGAUUAGCUGCGAGACUCACCUGUACAUUGGAAUAAAUGACAAGGAAAAGAGCUUAAAGACACAUGAAGGAUGUGAGACAUUGGAGAUGACAAAGGCAAGGCACAAGGGAUGCAGAAAUGAGCUGAAAUGAAGAAAUGGAGUUUUCCUGGUCCAACUAAGAAUCCCAGUCAACGUAGGAAUCCUGAUGAGGCUAGGAACCCUGAAGGCAUUAGGAGACCACAUGACUUGAAGAUGACGUGGGAGAUAUUAUGGGAGAUUAAAUCUGAUUUUUGCCAUGGGAAAUGAUGGAGAUAAUGUGAAAAUCAAUGAGAGAAUUAAGGAGAUUACGUUGAGAAAAUCUUGGGAGAGUUUCAAGGAAUUGUGCAACAAGAUAAGGCUCAAAAACAAGUCCAGAUUCAUUCCUCAAUUCCCUCAAAGAUAUGUUGGUCGAAAUUAAGGAAUUAAAAUCUGCAGUUUUAAUAUGAAAAUCAAGAGAAAAUCAAGGGGAGGAUGUUAAGGAUAAAGCCAUGGAGAGAUUUAAGGGAGAAAAGGUUCAAAA